CAGCAGCCACGGGAAUACGAAGGGGGCUAGCGUUGCUCGGAAUGACUGGGCGUAAAGGGCGCGUAGGCGGAUUGUUUAGUUAGGCGUGAAAUUCCUGGGCUUAACCUGGGGACUGCGCUUAAUACAGGCAGUCUAGAGUGAGGAAGAGGGUUGUGGAAUUCCCAGUGUAGAGGUGAAAUUCGUAGAUAUUGGGAAGAACACCGGUGGCGAAGGCAGCAACCUGGUCCUUGACUGACGCUGAGGCGCGAAAGCGUGGGGAGCAAACAGGAUUAGAUACCCCGGUAGUCCCUGUCUCUUAUAC
rnacentral:rRNA from 1 species